rnacentral:rRNA from 1 species
UCAGGAUGAACGCNGGCGGCGUGCUUAAUACAUGCAAGUCGAGCGAACUGAUUAGAAGCUUGCUUCUAUGACGUUAGCGGCGGACGGGUGAGUAACACGUGGGCAACCUGCCUGUAAGACUGGGAUAACUUCGGGAAACCGAAGCUAAUACCGGAUAGGAUCUUCUCCUUCAUGGGAGAUGAUUGAAAGAUGGUUUCGGCUAUCACUUACAGAUGGGCCCGCGGUGCAUUAGCUAGUUGGUGAGGUAACGGCUCACCAAGGCAACGAUGCAUAGCCGACCUGAGAGGGUGAUCGGCCACACUGGGACUGAGACACGGCCCAGACUCCUACGGGAGGCAGCAGUAGGGAAUCUUCCGCAAUGGACGAAAGUCUGACGGAGCAACGCCGCGUGAGUGAUGAAGGCUUUCGGGUCGUAAAACUCUGUUGUUAGGGAAGAACAAGUACGAGGAGUAACUGCUNGUACCUGACG